AUGGAUUUCCUGAGACCCUGCUGGGCACUGACCCCUGUGUUGGGCCCUAGGAAUUCACAGAUGAGCGAUUCAGAAUCACUGCCCACUAAGAACUCAGUCAAGUGGUGGUGGAGAUUGCUGCGGGAAAGGGUUCCAGAGCCAUAUGCUACUCUCCUCGUCAGAUUGUACCCUCCUUGGGAGCAGAGUCUCCUGACCUCAUAUCCCUCACAGCAGAGGAUAUCGAAUAGCACCAGGGGAGAAAAGACCUAACACAGUACAACUCACCAAGUAGGAACUCAGUAGCUCAUGGUUACGACAAGGGUAAGUAGAUUGAUGUCUAUGAUAUCCCUUUAAUUGGAGAUGUGUAUCAUUUACUUUGGUUGUUUUGGGACGAGGAUGGUGACCUGAUGCUAUUGAAGAUGUUGAUCUUACUGUUGGCAAUAUUGGUACAUUCCAUAUGGAGGGUGAGAUUAGUGGUGGCCCUGAUGAUUCUGCUUUUUAUAAUACUGAUUAUGAUGUUGGUGUGGACUGGGUUGGUGACGGUGAGCAUAAUAUUGGCAGUGACAAUAGCGAUGUUAACAGUGAUGUCAGUAUUAGCAAUGACUUUAAAGACAAUUUUGAUAGGACUGAUAUGUAUCAAUGACGA
rnacentral:lncRNA from 1 species